UGGGGAAUUUUGGACAAUGGGCGAAAGCCUGAUCCAGCAAUGCCGCGUGUGUGAAGAAGGCCUUCGGGUUGUAAAGCACUUUUGUCCGGAAAGAAAUCCUUGGCUCUAAUACAGUCGGGGGAUGACGGUACCGGAAGAAUAAGCACCGGCUAACUACGUGCCAGCAGCCGCGGUAAUACGUAGGGUGCAAGCGUUAAUCGGAAUUACUGGGCGUAAAGCGUGCGCAGGCGGUUUGCUAAGACCGAUGUGAAAUCCCCGGGCUCAACCUGGGAACUGCAUUGGUGACUGGCAGGCUAGAGUAUGGCAGAGGGGGGUAGAAUUCCACGUGUAGCAGUGAAAUGCGUAGAGAUGUGGAGGAAUACCGAUGGCGAAGGCAGCCCCCUGGGCCAAAUACUGACGCUCAUGCACGAAAGCGUGGGGAGCAAACAGGAUUAGAUACCCUGGUAGUCCACGCCCUAAACGAUGUCAACUAGUUGUUGGGGAUUCAUUUCCUUAGUAACGUAGCUAACGCGUGAAGUUGACCGCCUGGGGAGUACGGUCGCAAGAUUAAAACUCAAAUGAAUU
rnacentral:rRNA from 1 species